rnacentral:rRNA from 1 species
GAUCAUGGCUCAGAACGAACGCUGGCGGCAUGCCUAACACAUGCAAGUCGAACGAAGCCUUCGGGCUUGGUGGCGCACGGGUGCGUAACGCGUGGGAAUCUGCCCUUGGGUUCGGAAUAACAGUUAGAAAUGACUGCUAAUACCGAAUGAUGUCUUCGGACCAAAGAUUUAUCGCCCAAGGAUGAGCCCGCGUCGGAUUAGCUAGUUGGUGAGGUAAAAGGCUCACCAAGGCGACGAUCCGUAGCUGGUCUGAGAGGAUGAUCAGCCACACUGUGACUGAGACACGGCCCAGACUCCUACGGGAGGCAGCAGUGGGGAAUAUUGGACAAUGGGCGAAAGCCUGAUCCAGCAAUGCCGCGUGAGUGAUGAAGGCCUUAGGGUUGUAAAGCUCUUUUACCCGGGAUGAUAAUGACAGUACCGGGAGAAUAAGCCCCGGCUAACUCCGUG